rnacentral:rRNA from 1 species
GUGCGAAGGUAGCGUAAUCAAUUGUCUUUUAAUUAAAGUCCAGUAUGAAAGGCAUCACGAGAGUUUAUCUGUCUCUAUUUUCCAAUCAAUGAAAUUGAUCCUCUCGUGCAGAAGCGAGAAUAAUAACAUAAGACGAGAAGACCCUAUGGAGCUUUAAACACUUAGGUUAUUCAUUAAAAUUUUACUGCCUUCGGGUAUAAAACUAAAACUAAUUUUUUAACCUGCCUGUUUUUGGUUGGGGCAACCAAGGGGGAAAGAAAAGCCCCCUUAUCGAACGAGUAAUUUAUUACUUAAAAACUAGAACUACUGUUCUAAUUAAUAGAAAUUCUAACGAACAAUGACCCAAAAAUACUAUUUUUUUGAUCAAUGAACCAAGUUACCCUAGGGAUAACAGCGCAAUCCUUUCUUAGAGCCCCCAUCACCGAAAGGGUUUACGACCUC